rnacentral:rRNA from 1 species
AUUGAACGCUGGCGGCAGGCUUAACACAUGCAAGUAGAGCGAGCGGCGGACGGGUGAGUUAUGUCUGGGAAACUGCCUGAUGGAGGGGGAUAACUACUGGAAACGGUAGAUAAUACCGCAUACCACAAGAUGUGCCCAGAUGGGAUUAGCUAGAAGGUGGGGUAAGGGCUCACCGAGGCGACGAUCCCUAGCUGGUCUGAGAGGAUGACCGGCCACAAUGGAACUGAGACACGUUCCAGACUCCUACGGGAGUCAGCAGUGGGGAUUAUUGCACAAUGAGCGCAAGCCUGAUGCAGCCAUGCCGCUUGUGUGAAGAAGGCCUUCGGGUUGUAAAGCACUUUCAGCGAGGAGGCGUUACUCGCAGAAGAAGCACCGGCUAACUCCGUGCCAGCAGCCGCGGUAAUAC